UCAAACUUGGUCAUUUAGAGGAAGUAAAAGUCGUAACAAGGUCUCCGUUGGUGAACCAGCGGAGGGAUCAUUACAGAGUUUUCUAAACUCCCAACCCAUGUGUAUCUACUAUUUUGUUGCCUCGGCGGGUUCUGCUCCCUCUGUGGAGCAGGCCCAAGCCCGCCGGCGGCCCAACUAAACUCUUGUAUUAUUGUCAUCUGAGAGUUAUUUUUAAAAUAAGUCAAAACUUUCAACAACGGAUCUCUUGGUUCUGGCAUCGAUGAAGAACGCAGC
rnacentral:misc_RNA from 1 species